ACGCUGGCGGCAGGCCUAACACAUGCAAGUCGAGCGGUAGAGAGAAGCUUGCUUCUCCUGAGAGCGGCGGACGGGUGAGUAAUGCCUAGGAAUCUGCCUGGUAGUGGGGGACAACAUUUGGAAACGAAUGCUAAUACCGCAUAAAAACUUUAAACACAAGUUUUAAGUUUGAAAGAUGCAAUUGCAUCACUCAAAGAUGAUCCCGCGUUGUAUUAGCUAGUUGGUGAGGUAAAGGCUCGCCAAGGCGAUGAUACAUAGCCGACCUGAGAGGGUGAUCGGCCACAUUGGGACUGAGACACGGCCCAAACUCCUACGGGAGGCAGCAGUAGGGAAUCUUCGGCAAUGGACGAAAGUCUGACCGAGCAACGCCGCGUGAGUGAAGAAGGUUUUCGGAUCGUAAAACUCUGUUGGUAGAGAAGAACGUUGGUGAGAGUGGAAAGCUCAUCAAGUGACGGUAACUACCCAGAAAGGGACGGCUAACUACGUGCCAGCAGCCGCGGUAAUACGUAGGUCCCGAGCGUUGUCCGGAUUUAUUGGGCGUAAAGCGAGCGCAGGUGGUUUAUUAAGUCUGGUGUAAAAGGCAGUGGCUCAACCAUUGUAUGCAUUGGAAACUGGUAGACUUGAGUGCAGGAGAGGAGAGUGGAAUUCCAUGUGUAGCGGUGAAAUGCGUAGAUAUAUGGAGGAACACCGGUGGCGAAAGCGGCUCUCUGGGCCUGUAACUGACACUGAGGCUCGAAAGCGUGGGGAGCAAACAG
rnacentral:rRNA from 1 species